rnacentral:rRNA from 1 species
UCCAGACUCCUACGGGAGGCAGCAGUGAGGAAUAUUGGUCAAUGGGCGGAAGCCUGAACCAGCCAAGUCGCGUGAGGGAAUAAGGCCCUACGGGUCGUAAACCUCUUUUGCCGGGGAGCAAGGGCGGGGACGUGUCCCGGCCCGGAGAGUACCCGGAGAAAAAGCAUCGGCUAACUCCGUGCCAGCAGCCGCGGUAAUACGGGGGGUGCAAGCGUUGUCCGGAAUCAUUGGGCGUAAAGAGUUCGUAGGCGGCACGUAAAGUCUGGUGUUAAAGGCAGGGGCUCAACUUCUGUACGGCACUGGAUACUUGCGAGCUAGAAUGCGGUAGAGGUAAAGGGAAUUCCUGGUGUAGCGGUGAAAUGCUUAGAUAUCAGGAGGAACAUCGGUGGCGUAAGCGCUUUACUGGGCCGUAAUUGACGCUGAGGAACGAAAGCCAGGGUAGCAAAUGGGAUUAGAUACCCGCGUACA